AGCAAUAGAUACUACAUAACAUGGAUUCUCCGUGUCUCGAUUUCUCGCAGUUCUUGGACUAGGGCACAACAACUGCAACAAAGAUGCAACAAAAAAUCUCCGCAACACCCUCCCUGGGAACAUAACAGACACAAGUUAUACUGCAGAUCAUUACCCUGAUGUUUAAUUUAUUCCGAAGCUUCCUCCUGAUGCAACAAGUAUAGCAACAGCAUGAAACUAUUAGGGAGUAAGCCAUUAUCUCGUUGCAGACAUCUACAGAAGCUGUCACAUACACCAGUUUUCAUGUACUAUCUAAUCAGUAUAUAAUCGAUGUGGACUCUGGAUAGCAUUUACUUUUUUUAUUUAGAGGUUGGGAUUUGAAUGGUUUGAAUACCGGUUCUAUAUUUUCGUGUUUGGGUUAAUUGUGGUAUAACUGUUUGACUAUACACUGGUGCAAUGAUGUAUUUCGUCUAUAUGCCUGGUUUUCUUUUAAUAAAUAAGCUGUCAGGUAUGGGAAAUGUACUUCUAUGGUUGUUUAAGUAGACAAGUAGUAGGCCCUUCAAAGUUCAUGGGAGUGGUAAUAGACAUAAGGGCUUUGUAAAACUACAGAGGCAGUACAUACAUUUCUAAUUGCAGUUCAUAUAUAUUAGCAAAAAGUUGUGUUCAAAAUGAA